AAAAUUCUGCCUCAGUAGCUGCGUUUCCGUUACAAAUUUGAGCAAAACUUUGUCAAUAUUCACGUUGAAAAAACACAAUUUUUGAUUGCGGUCUUUGCAUUAAGUAAGAAACACAAAUAAAAUCAGUAAAAUUCGUCUUUUUCCACACAAUAACUUAUUAAAGCACAUGGCCCACCACGAUCCUCCUACCGCUUCCUGCCGUCUUCUUCUUCGUGGUUUGCGCCAAUGACAACAUCCGGUUGUUGAUCAUGUGACUCGCGAGAUGUUAAAAAAGGUUU